UAUACGUAUCAGCCAAGGGACAUCAAAUGGGUUACACUGCAUAUUGCGAAAGCAACAUUUUGCUUUAUUUAAAGGUGAAGAUUCAAUGACGCAUUUUAUUGCACUACUGUUAAGGCUGCUUUGAAAAUUUGUGUCACUGCACUUCGUGGAUAACAAUGAACAAAAGCCACGUAUGGUGACAAAUAGAGACAUUCUGUUUUAUUCUAUAUACGUCAGCAUGCUUUUUGAUUCGAUACGUGACGCGGUUUUUUCCUCUUACAGCAAAAGCUCGUUUUACCGGUGGCAAUAUAUGUUCACAUGCUCGCGAAACCGACCAUCGUCGCUUGAACAAGCAUUUCUUGGACACUGCCUCACAAUUGAGUACCAGCGCAGUUUACCGCCAACGAACCGAUCAUGUUCCGGAUGAAUAUUUUUGCGAGAAUGAAAAAGAUGCUGGAGUAUAUGAUUUUUAUUGCUGUUUUCAUCAGUGGGAACCAGUGUUUUUCAAACAACGCCCAUGCACAAUCAUAUGACUGCCGGGUAAUCCUUAGCACAUCAUCGUCUAGAACCACAUGCUACUAUGCGUGCACGGACGGCGGUAACCGUUGGAGAAGAGGCAUGCAUACUGACGGCACACCUUGUUUG
rnacentral:lncRNA from 1 species